rnacentral:lncRNA from 1 species
UGCUGAGCUGCUGGUUUGGAAUAGCUCCUGAGCACAGGGUGAGAUCCUUGACAGCCAUUCCAAUGAGAUGGAAAUGUGUUCCCACUUGGCAGAGUUCAGUUGUGCAUAGGACAUCUGAUGAACCUUCUGGAGCUUCUCAGCAGAGACCAUUCUCCUCUCUUCAUUGAAACAUGCACUGUCCAGCUGUGAAACAUUGCAAGGUUUAUUUUUGCUGACAGGAAACACUUUCAAGUAUCGUUCUGUCUUUCUCCUACAAGAGUUCCCACCAGUGCUGUCAGAAGGUCACAAACAGGGCACUACCUGUGCUGCCCUGGGGCUGUUGAUGUCCUCAGCUGUUGUAGGAGAAACACUAGACCUGGAACCCAGUUUGUUACUGGUAAGAAAUAAUUGUCUUGGAUUUCAUUUGUUUAUUUAUUCAACAUUGUAGUUUACAUGUUUUCAUUAACUAAAUCUGCAAAAAUCACUUGCUGCUUUUAAUAACAAUAUAGCAAAAUAUGCAUAUCUGGUCUUUUAUUCCCUCUAAAAUUUUUAACUUUACAGUUGCUUAAUUUUGAAUUCUAAUUACCCUCGUCCUGAGAUGUGGAGGACAGCAGUUUUCACUUACCUCUCAUUUUCAGUCCUGGUUUUCUCUUGAAAUUCAUGUGCUGUCAGAGCUAAUGAAGGUUAAUAAAUG